UUAAAUAGUAUUAGCUUUGUAGCUAAACACAAGGCAUGACCUGUGGCCUAGCAAUGUUGCUGACCACAAGACAGAAUGAUAGCUAAGCCAGCCAUUUUCUUAUGUCAAGUGCCUUAACCAUUUUGUUAGAAAAAAGCAGAAAUUAAGUCUGUGUACUGAGUACCAGCUGCAGCUAGGAGUGAGAUAAGAUAAGGGGGGCCCAGAGGGAAGAAGAUGGUACAGCGGAGUACAGGAAAACAGAUUGGAAUGUGUAAGAUAACACUAACUUUUUUCUUUUGGAAAAGUACUGAGAUUUGUAAUGCACCAUGUAAGGAGAUGAUGACCAUAAGUAUUGCAUAUUCAAUAACCUUGUAGUUUUCCUUGUUAGAAAAUGUAUAAAAGACAGCCUCACCCUUAAGUCGGGGCCAUUUUACCUCUUUGCUGUUUUAUGGUCUUUACUUGAAUAAAUAAACUGCAGUUACCCCUUCACCCGCGUUGUCUGGUCUCUAAGCCAGCUAGACAACGAACACCAGGGAGUUUUCUCCCACGACAAUUUGGCACCCCAGAUGGGACUCGUCUAGCUUGGAGCCUUUGGAGACCUCCACCCCCUGACACCCCAGCGCGCACCAGUUAAAAUCUCUCCAUAGAUAUGCUGUUUUAAGCCAACUCUUACCUGCCGAUGUUCCAGCACAUCACGUCCAGCCUAAAAACUGGGUGUAUAUAAAAACUUGAAAACAGUCUCCUCUUGAACCAAGGUGGAAAAAACCUUAUCAAAUCCUCCUCACUUCCCACACCACCGUAAAGGUAGCAGAAAAAGACAACUGAAUUCAUUAUACUCGUACAAAGAAGACAGAAGUUUCACCAGAGCUCAGGAUCGGCUCCAACGCGAGCUUCCCCGACCUGGAAAAGGGGAAGCCAGAAGGAGACGACUGCGGACUUCGCGGGAGCACCGCCUGUCUACCUGACCGUGACAAGGGUAGACCAGAAGCAGACGAAACAUCAAAUGGUUCUUGGAUUAGUAGUCCACUUUCAGACAAAAAACUCAAACUGACCAAAGUUUGCCAAUGAACUGUCACCCUUUUGAGAUACUACCAAACCCAAAAAGAAAAAAAACGAGUUUUAAGUGCAGUGUCCUUUAGACACCUUCAAAACCAAACACUUCAAAACCGUUACCUGUCCUAAAAAAAACUGUCGUGGAAAAAACAUGCUGUAGAAUCUGGGAUCAGGUCAGGUAGAAACUUUAUUUCAAUAGCUAAAGGGAGAGACAGUUAAAGAGAAAAUUUCCCCUGGCUCUCUGCCUUACAGCAAAAGGCAAUUAAUCUUUUAUAGAUUCAAGACAAAGAGUUUCCCAAACUAGCUUUUCCCGCCUAUGGGCUAUCUGUUUUGUGUCUUCAAGACAACUUUACAGCCGUCUUCCUCUUAUCUAAAGCAUCUCUCUCUGAGGCCUCGGCUAUCCUUUGCUUCUACAGAGUAAUCACCAGAGCUGCAGGGUUGUUUAUACUGUUUGUGCUGAUUUCUGUUAUAAUAUGGCUUUUAUAACUAUGUUAUUUCUAAUCUUUCUGUUUACUGGAGAAAUAAGUCUUUUACAGGGUCAACUAUAGCUACCAAUUGUUGCAAAUGUGCUAAUCCUGGCACCCGCAGUUUUCCUGUCUGGAUAAGCAAUUCAAUCAAACUCUCUGAAAUAGACAGAAAAGUCAACAUUGCCCGCUGGUAUCCUCCCUCACAUUGCUGUAGUUCAGCAGAAAACCAUAGUAACUGCUGGGCAUGUAGCCAUCUCCCUCUCCACGCUCGAGGAGGGAUCCCUAUGAUUCCUACCCCCUUGGGACUAGUAGAAUCACUCCUAAAUCCAUCUAGUGACCCCAAUCUCCCUAACAAAACUUGGGAACCGAAUAAACAAGAGUACUACUUAGUUAUACCAGUAGUUGGAGAGUGGUGCUUCCACGUAAACUGUUCUAGAAGUUCCUGUUUAAACUUAGGUACUAGCACAUGUCGUCAUUAUUAUACUGAUUCUACUGGAGGAGAUUGGCGUAAUAAUCAUACACAAACUCCUACCUUUUGCAGCUCUUACAAUGACUUUUACAGCAAGGAAGACUUAACCAAUGGCAUUAAUCCUGAAUGCAAACCUAUCCCCGAUUUAAAGAAUGCCCUGUAGUAUUGUUCGUAUCAUGAUACCUCCCGGGGACAGUGCUUUUUCAAUGGAACUACAAAUCCUUCCUUUAAAUCAAAAGGUGGACGAGGAGUGCUAGGAUUAGGAAAUGGUAGCCAUCUACCCCGCAAGUAUUCAGGCCUCACUGCAUUAGAGGGGCAAUAUUGGGUCUUUGGCUCUUACGCCUACUAUAAAAUCCCCGCCAAAGGAAAAGGUAUCUGCUAUCCGGCACUGCUAAGACCCUCUACGUCCUUCGCCACACACCUUCCAUGGGGCAGGUGGCGAAACAAGAGGGAUUUGUCGAAAAGCCGAGAUAUGCUAGAAGGUAAUUUCAAAGAACCACUUACCACAGGAAAACUUAUUGGGUACUCCCUAGCCGCUAUACUCCCUGGAGUAGGUGCUUCCUGUCUUGGACGAUACACCUUGCGUCUCCAAGCUGUAAUUAAAAUAAUGGCCCACGAAUACAGGGUAGGCCACCAAAAACUUUCAAAAGCUGUCGCAGCUUUAGCUAACACUCAAAAAGAACUCCGACAAAUGUUAAUUCAGAAUCGCGUAACUCUUAAUUUCCUCCUAGCUGCCCAGGGAGGUGCUUGCACAGUCAUCGGACCAGAAUGUUGUGUAUGGGUUAACAGCUCUUUUACCAUAGUUCAAAACCACCUCGAUGAUGCAGCUGUACAUAUCCAAAAUGCCGAAAAUGUAGCUAAAAUCCCCAAAGAUGCAUCUCUUAACUGGUUUACUGGUUGGUUCCCUUCCCUUAUGGGAUGGCUUAGACCUUUUGUGCUAAGUAUAAUUAGAAUAGUUAUAACUAUAGUCUGUCUGUUAUGCUGUUUUCAGUGUUUGUGUUCUUUGGGGCAACAGAUGAUACAAAGACAAGUAAAAAUAUAUGGUCAGCUCAUACAAAUACCCAGCAACAAUCAUCAAGGCCUAACUCCACAAGAGCAUGAAUACUUAAAAGUGUGUUCCAAAACUUUUAAAAGUUUGGAACAAAGGGGGGAUUGUGAUGGGCAAGUUUGUUUUUACCCUGAAAUAAAAUAGUUUUCUGUAGUAUACUGUUAAGUUAACAAUAAUUUAAAUUAUUAAAUAGUAUUAGCUUUGUAGCUAAACACAAGGCAUGACCUGUGGCCUAGCAAUGUUGCUGACCACAAGACAGAAUGAUAGCUAAGCCAACCAUUUUCUUAUGUCAAGUGCCUUAACCAUUUUGUUAGAAAAAAGCAGAAAUUAAGUCUGUGUACUGAGUACCAGCUGCAGCUAGGAGUGAGAUAAGAUAAGGGGGGCCCAGAGGGAAGAAGAUGGUACAGCGGAGUACAGGAAAACAGAUUGGAAUGUGUAAGAUAACACUAACUUUUUUCUUUUGGAAAAGUACUGAGAUUUGUAAUGCACCAUGUAAGGAGAUGAUGACCAUAAGUAUUGCAUAUUCAAUAACCUUGUAGUUUUCCUUGUUAGAAAAUGUAUAAAAGACAGCCUCACCCUUAAGUCGGGGCCAUUUUACCUCUUUGCUGUUUUAUGGUCUUUACUUGAAUAAAUAAACUGCAGUUACCCCUU